CUUCCUACGGGGCGCAGCAGUGAGGAAUAUUGGUCAAUGGCCGGAAGGCUGAACCAGCCAAGCCGCGUGAAGGACGAAGGUGCCAAGCAUUGUAAACUUCCUUUGUCAAGGGACAAAAUCAGGCUCGAGAGCCUGACCGAGGGUACUUGAAGAAAAAGCAUCGGCUAACUCCGUGCCAGCAGCCGCGGUAAUACGGAGGAUGCGAGCGUUAUCCGGAUUUAUUGGGUUUAAAGGGUGCGUAGGCGGUUUGUCAAGUCAGCGGUAAAAAUUCCGGGCUCAACCCGGUCCCGCCGUUGAAACUGGCG
rnacentral:rRNA from 1 species